GCAGUUUCUUCUGACCCUGCUCUUUCUCAGAUUUUCUUUCAGAGUUUGGAAAUUUAAACACAGACUGUCCAUGUUUAUGCUUCCAGUGAUGACAGGAUCUAGGAAAGGGACCUCAGGCCAAUCCCCCGGAGGAUCAUUGCAAUUACACUUCAGGUGAUCCCACACCACAUCAGCCAGCAAGAACGGCCUAUUGUCAGGCUGCCAACCUUUAAUGGAGAUUGGACAUCAACCUCUGAGAAGACCCCUGGAGGAGUGCAGAAGCUACAGCGGGGAGCUGGUUAACCCUGAAAGCCUUUAAGGGAAGAAGGGAGGAAGAUGAAGAUACAUAUGGGUCUGUGUUGGGGUCAAGAGCCCCCUGCUUGAAGAACAUAGUGAGUCCUGAUAGUACCAUGUUCCAGGGAAUUCAGGUGGUCCUGUGGCAGAGGUUUUGCUGGCUGGUACAGCAGUGAGAACGGGGUGGGGGGUGUUAGAUUGGGGAGUCAUGUGGUGUUUUGUAUAAUCAGCAGACUCUAAAAUAGUUAGUUCUAGGGCAAACCCCUGAAAUCAGGCAUACCCCAGGAGGAAGUUGUGGGAUGUGUGUAGGUUGAAGACUUGGGGUAGAACAGGGGAAUAACG
rnacentral:lncRNA from 1 species